UUUAUCAGGGGUUUCUGCUUUUGCUUCUUCCUCAUUUUCUUUUGCCGCUGCCAAGUAAGAAGUGUCUUUCACCACCCCCAUGAUCCUGAGGCCUCCUAGCCAUGUGGAACUCUCCUGGCUCCCUCAGGAUCUGAACACUCAGGGUCAUGCUGUUGCUGCCCAAGCAGGAAAAUUCUGUUUCUGAAAAUCCCAAACAACAAACAGCUCCCCUACAGGGCUCACGGAAGAGGAGAAGAAACACACACAGAGGAC